UACGUAGGGAGCAAGCGUUGUCCGGAAUCAUUGGGCGUAAAGCGCGCGUAGGCGGCCCUGUAAGUCCGUUGUGAAAGUCAAAGGCUCAACCUUUGAAAGCCGAUGGAUACUGCAGGGCUAGAGUCCGGAAGAGGAGAGUGGAAUUCCUGGUGUAGCGGUGAAAUGCGCAGAUAUCAGGAAGAACACCCGUGGCGAAGGCGGCUCUCUGGGACGGUACUGACGCUGAGACGCGAAAGCGUGGGGAGCGAACAGG
rnacentral:rRNA from 1 species